rnacentral:tRNA from 1 species
GGGCGAGUGGCGGAAUCGGUAUACGCGUGUGUUCGAGGGGCACAUGCCGCAAGGCUUGAGGGUUCGAGUCCCUCCUCGCCCA